rnacentral:rRNA from 1 species
AGGAUGAACGCUAGCUACAGGCUUAACACAUGCAAGUCGAGGGGCAGCAUUUCAGUUUGCUUGCAAACUGGAGAUGGCGACCGGCGCACGGGUGAGUAACACGUAUCCAACCUGCCGAUAACUCGGGGAUAGCCUUUCGAAAGAAAGAUUAAUACCCGAUGGCAUAAUUAGACCGCAUGGUCUUAUUAUUAAAGAAUUUCGGUUAUCGAUGGGGAUGCGUUCCAUUAGGCAGUUGGUGAGGUAACGGCUCACCAAACCUUCGAUGGAUAGGGGUUCUGAGAGGAAGGUCCCCCACAUUGGAACUGAGACACGGUCCAAACUCCUACGGGAGGCAGCAGUGAGGAAUAUUGGUCAAUGGGCGCAGGCCUGAACCAGCCAAGUAGCGUGAAGGAUGACUGCCCUAUGGGUUGUAAACUUCUUUUAUAUGGGAAUAAAGUUUUCCACGUGUGGAAUUUUGUAUGUACCAUAUGAAUAAGGAUCGGCUAACUCCGUGCCAGCAGCCGCGGUAAUACGGAGGAUCCGAGCGUUAUCCGGAUUUAUUGGGUUUAAAGGGAGCGUAGGUGGACAGUUAAGUCAGUUGUGAAAGUUUGCGGCUCAACCGUAAAAUUGCAGUUGAUACUGGCUGUCUUGAGUACAGUAGAGGUGGGCGGAAUUCGUGGUGUAGCGGUGAAAUGCUUAGAUAUCACGAAGAACUCCGAUUGCGAAGGCAGCUCACUGGACUGCAACUGACACUGAUGCUCGAAAGUGUGGGUAUCAAACAGGAUUAGAUACCCUGGUAGUCCACACAGUAAACGAUGAAUACUCGCUGUUUGCGAUAUACAGUAAGCGGCCAAGCGAAAGCAUUAAGUAUUCCACCUGGGGAGUACGCCGGCAACGGUGAAACUCAAAGGAAUUGACGGGGGCCCGCACAAGCGGAGGAACAUGUGGUUUAAUUCGAUGAUACGCGAGGAACCUUACCCGGGCUUAAAUUGCAUUUGAAUAAUCUGGAAACAGGUUAGCCGCAAGGCAAAUGUGAAGGUGCUGCAUGGUUGUCGUCAGCUCGUGCCGUGAGGUGUCGGCUUAAGUGCCAUAACGAGCGCAACCCUUAUCUUUAGUUACUAACAGGUCAUGCUGAGGACUCUAGAGAGACUGCCGUCGUAAGAUGUGAGGAAGGUGGGGAUGACGUCAAAUCAGCACGGCCCUUACGUCCGGGGCUACACACGUGUUACAAUGGGGGGUACAGAAGGCAGCUACCUGGUGACAGGAUGCUAAUCCCAAAAGCCUCUCUCAGUUCGGAUCGAAGUCUGCAACCCGACUUCGUGAAGCUGGAUUCGCUAGUAAUCGCGCAUCAGCCAUGGCGCGGUGAAUACGUUCCCGGGCCUUGUACACACCGCCCGUCAAGCCAUGAAAGCCGGGGGUACCUGAAGUACGUAACCGCAAGGAGCGUCCUAGGGUAAAAC